rnacentral:rRNA from 1 species
GACGAACGCUGGCGGCGUGCCUAAUACAUGCAAGUCGAGCGAGCUUGCCUAGAUGAUUUUAGUGCUUGCACUAAAUGAAACUAGAUACAAGCGAGCGGCGGACGGGUGAGUAACACGUGGGUAACCUGCCCAAGAGACUGGGAUAACACCUGGAAACAGAUGCUAAUACCGGAUAACAACACUAGACGCAUGUCUAGAGUUUGAAAGAUGGUUCUGCUAUCACUCUUGGAUGGACCUGCGGUGCAUUAGCUAGUUGGUAAGGUAACGGCUUACCAAGGCAAUGAUGCGUAGCCGAGUUGAGAGACUGAUCGGCCACAUUGGGACUGAGACACGGCCCAAACUCCUACGGGAGGCAGCAGUAGGGAAUCUUCCACAAUGGACGAAAGUCUGAUGGAGCAACGCCGCGUGAGUGAAGAAGGGUUUCGGCUCGUAAAGCUCUGUUGGUAGUGAAGAAAGAUAGAGGUAGUAACUGGCCUUUAUUUGACGGUAAUUACUUAGAAAGUCACGGCUAACUACGUG